AUACUUACCUGGCAGGGGAGAUACCAUGAUCAUGAAGGUGGUUUUCCCAGGGCAAGGCUUAUCCAUUGCACACGGGCUCUAGAAGAACCAGUGCCCAGCUGACCUGGGUCAGACUCUAUUUGGAUAUUUGGAAU
rnacentral:snRNA from 1 species